ensembl:lncRNA
CAGAUCCAAAGCACAUACCAAUGUCCUACUGAGAGUUUCAACAACUGCCUGUGCUGCUCAGGGACUGACUCAAUCCUAUGGAUAGGAGCUGUCAGGAUGCUGUCUCCAGUCCUUCAAGGUCCCUCAAGAUGAUUGCAUAGCUCUCUGAUGCAUCAGCGACUCUCUUCAGUUCUGAGUCAUCUGUGAAUCUACUAAGAAUAUACUCUACCCCAUUAUACAGAUAAUUAAUAAACAUAUUAAACAGGACUGGAUCCACUAUUGACCCCCGAGGUUCUUCAUUCAUUACUGGAUGUCUUGCACGAGAAGAUAAAACUAUUGCACAAAAUUCUAUCACUACUUACAUAAUAUUGUGGUGGAUACAGUAGGUUAUUUGAAAAUUUAUGAAAUACUGUAAUUUUUCAUAAAAUAUUUCUGGGAAGCAGAUAUCAGAGUAAAAGCAAGGACCAGAACUGCAUUUGAGAAGCCACAUGCCAUUUCAUGUAGUGGAGAAUUUUAUAAUUAAUUUUGAGUAAAGCACAAUCUUUUCAUCAGAUGGAGAGUGCACAGAAUGAAAUACUAGAUCCUCCUUCUAGAUUCUCUCUAUACAUAAGUCUGUCCAAUCUUUUUCUCAGAUGUUGUAACAUAUUUUGGAAAAUGCCCCAUUUUCUGUGAUGAUUUAGUCAGUUAUGAAAAUAAAAGUAUUAAAUAGUUGGAUGCAUAGAUUUUGUCAUUUGCUUUAUGUCUGUCAAAUAAUGUGGAUAAUAUUCAGAAGAGUAUACAUCACAAUAUUCUGAUAUAUCAGUAACAGCAAAUCAGAAACAGAACUUUGUGGGAAGACAGUCACUUCCUCCUGCAUAAUUUGGUAACAGGAAGAAAUGAGAGCUUACAAAGAACUUAAGCUGAGAUACUCUUGUGAUACAAGAUGGCAUGAGAUGUGAGAAUGACAGUGAAAAGUAGGAAAUUGUAAGACUAAAAAUGAAAUAUUAAUUUGUCUCUUGUACUCUAGUUAAGAGAUGUUGAUUUAGAACAGUUUCAAGGAACAAUGAACAUGAAAUUCAUCUUCUGUACAAGGGAAAAAAGAACCUUACAAUUUAAUUGAUCAUCUCCAUCUUUUUAUAUAUGCAGACUGGAAAAUAGCCAUGACAAGAAAAACAUCCACUAAAACAUUGCAAAAAACAUUGAAGUUCUGCUCCAAUGAGUGCUGGUUUUAUGAAAAUCUUACAGAAUUUUACUACUUGGUUAUCCAAGUAUUGAGGCAUAUUUACAGAACCAUGGCAUAUGUACUUUGUAAGGGCAGGAAAGACGUCCAAUGAAAUUACACGACUGUCAGUCUGACCUCAGUUCCAGGGAAGGUUAUGGAGGAGAUCACCUUGAGUGCUAUCACGUGACAUGUAUAGGAUGAUCAAGUGAGCAGAAGCAGCCAGCAUGGAUUUCUGAAGGGUACAUCCUAGCAGUCAAGCCCAGUCUCCUUCUAUAACAAGAUGACCUGAUUAGUAGAUGAGGAGAAAGCUGUGGGUGUUGUUUAUCUGAAUUUUAAUAAAGCCUUUGACAUUAUCUCCCACUGUAUUUGGCUGGAGAAACCGCCUAUUCGUGGCUUGGAAAAGUAUGCAGUUCACUGGGUGAAGAAGAACUGACUAGGUGGCCAGGCCUAGUCUUGGGGCCAGUUUUAUUUAAGAUUUUUAUCAGUUGUCUAGAUGAAGGGCUUGAGUGCACUCUCAGGAAGUCUGCAAAGUAGGUGGGAGUACUGAUUUGCUUGAGGAUAGGAAGGCUUUGCAGAAGCAUUUGGACAAACUGAAUUUGUGGGCCAAGUCCAAUCACAUGACAUUCAACAAGGGUAAGUGCCAAGUCCUGCACUUUUGUCCUAACAACACCAUGCAGAGGUAUAGGACUGAAAAAGAAAGUCUGAAAAAUUGCCCAGCAGAAAAGGACCUGGAGGUGCUUGUCAACAGCAGGCAGAGCAUGAGCAAGUGGUGUGGCCAGGUGAUUGAAAAGGACAGCUGCGUCCUGGCCUGCAUCAGAAAUAGUGUGGCCAGAUGGACCAGGGAAGUGACCAUCCCUCUGUGCUCAGCACUGGUGAAGCCAUGCUUCAAAUGAUGCUUUGAGCCCAUCACUACAAGAAAGGUAUUGAGUUGCUCGAGUGUAUGCAGAGACAAGCCUGCUGAACCACAUGCUGGGUGUCUGAAAUAGUCAUUCACCAAACAUUCAAAACAAGGGCAGCAGUAUUUCUGCCAGAAUUUUAUAAACAGUGAUUAUGGUUCAGAUUGCUGAGUACUGUGAGAGAAAUAGACACAGAAAUUAAUUAAUUAAUUUCUCUAUCUCCAGAGUGGGUUGGGAGUUUGGAUACAAUCCAAACUGGAUCCAGAAUUCAGAACUCUAUUGCUAUAUAAAAAAGCAAAAAGCAAGAGUCUUUCUUGCACACUUUCUACAAACACUUCUCCCAGUCCUAUCAGUGAAAGAGACUGGAACAACACUGUUAUGCACUCUCAAUUCCCAGGCUGUGUGUGAUCUAGUACAAAGUAUGCAUCCUGUCAACAAACCAAGACUUGUUAAAUUGUUACAGAUUGAUAUAUGUUAAUUGUUAAUCAUGAGGACAGUUAUCAUCAUUAGAUUUAUUCAUUUGGUGGAGGGGGCAAACUUUAAAUAUAUUAGAGAAGUGACAUGGUUCUUCAAACUUCAAGUCAGUGAAGAGCAUUCUUAUCACAGAUCUUUCAAGAAUUAGUUGGAAGAUAUCUUUCACUUCUGUGUCUUCUAAACAAAGAGAUUACUUUGACUUCAGAAAAGGAAAAUUGUAGAGAGGUUUGUAACAGAUGUGUUGAAAACCAUCCAGGAAAUAAGCAAUCUUCGGAGGGUUGCUGUGCUUUGCCAUCUGAAAACCCAUGAGGGAUUUAGAGCCAGAAGUGGGCUUGCAACCUUUAAAUGUCACCACCAUAUUUUAACAAAUAUUCAAAGGGCCUAGUAAGAAGAAUUUUGAAACAAUUUUUGUUCUGUGUUUGCCCUAAUAAAUCUUAACACAUCUAAAAUCUUCCCAUCUCAAAUUUAGGUAAGGAAUGGCUUGCCCAACUAAUGAAUGCUAAUUCACACUGUAUAUAGUUCUCAGAUCUUCUUAAGGAACAGUAUCUGUAUAACCCAAGAUAAGGACUUGACUGUGAAGUCUGUAGCUAUAUAUAAAUUCUUCCUGUUACACACAUAUCCUACUAACUGCCCAGACGAAAGAUGUCCUAAGGCUACCUCUUCAGACAGUGAGGCACUUGCUGACAGCUCUGGGCUUUAAGACAAAUUAAAAUAAGCCAAUUUUUCAGUCUGCAAGUCUAAUAAAGCUUCUGGCUUUCCGUUCUGUCAAUGACCAUGAAUAAAAUUGGCUGACAAGAAAGAAGAUGAGAUGUUUAGUUUUCUGAUGAGAGAUUUUAAGGUGAAGACCAGUUCUGCAAUUUCUAUUCCAGUUCUUAUCAGUAAGAAUUUUCUGUCACUAGAAAAGCGGGGAUAAAAAAUUUUUAAGCCCUUGUUUUCUGUUCUAACAGCCUAACUCUCUUUGCAUUACAGUUCUGUGGACUAAGUGGUAUUUGAGGAGGUGAUGAGUGCCCAAACGUAUACAGGAGGGUGCUUCUGUCUCUUGGUUUAACUAGGUGAUGUCACUAUACAGCUAUAUUGAACAUGUACAAUUUCCAUACACAUUCUUUUACAAGGACUGUGCUUGUUUUCUUCAGAGCAUCAAAAUGGCAUCAAGUUCUACUGACACGUGCUCUCAUGUCCUCAUUUUUUCACCCCCUGAAAAGUACAUUAACUAAAUUUAGUCUUUGUAGUCUUCCAAAGUGAAGAAUAAAAUUUCCAAUGAGUUUGUUAUCUAACAAUUUAAUUAAAUACACCGUACAACAGAGCAAAGGUCAAAUAUUAAUUUAGAAGUGUAAGUUGGUGAAUACCUUGUUAUCAUCACAGACUUAUAGAAUGAUGGAGGUUAAAAGGGACCACUGAAGAUUAUUUAAUCCAACCUUUAUGCUUAAGCAGGGUCCCUUAUAGCACAUUACCAUAAUGUGGGUUUGUGGGAAACAUAACAACACAAUAGCUAAAAGCUAAUUUGAGUAAUGUGGCCACCUAAUCACAGUGCUGGUCAGUGUUCAUCUCAAGAGAAAUAUGGGAGAAUGUCCAACUCAUGUCAAAUUUGAAAGAAACUAACAUCUCUUAUCAGCAUGCAGAUAUGACAUUGAAUCAAUCAUCUCAACCCAUGAACAGUGAACAGAUCAAGAGCCCAGUGAGCUCUCCUGCAUGUCAGUUAGCUGCAUGACAGGAUCUCCCCUUGAGUAGGGAUGCCGCUUCAGGCUAACCCAGCUGCAGAGAUCCCCUGUGCCUUGAUGUCAAGAGUCUCCUUGCCACUAUAGAUCCUUGGCAAGUGAUUAAUAGCUUGCUAAGCUAUGUAAGUUUCACUAAGAUAAAAUCUUUGGCUGGCUUUGCACAUAUAAUCCUUAAGGCGUAAACCAUUGACAAUGCCUGAGACUAGAAGUGGUUUCGGAUGCACCUAGGCUCCUUACUUCUUCCAUUCAAGAAGUUCAGAAAGCAAGAGGGUCCACUCUGAACCUCAUGACUCAAUGGGAUGAUCUCCUGGAAAAGUGAUUUAAUCCCAUCCUCUACACAGUAAAUAAUCAAUUAUAACUUGCCAUCUCAAAUCUUGUUACGUUAUUGCUUUAUUUACAGUUAUGUUAAGUCACUAUUUUAUAUCAAUAAAUUGAUUAUUGCUUCUCUAUAAAAAUGAAGUAUAUAACUCUAUUUGAGACAGUAGCCUUUCAUCGGACUCACUUUGGGAGUUCCAUAUGUCUCUUGUUCUGGGGAACCCAGAAUUCGACACAGUACUCCAGGUGCAGCCUCAUCAGGGCUGGGUGGACAGGAGGAUUACUUCCAUAGACCUGCUGGCAGCACUUUCCCUAAUACAACCUAAGAUACCAUUUGUCCUCUUGGCCACAAGGCCCUUAGUAAUAGGAAGAAAGAAAGAAAGAAAGAAAGAAAGAAAGAAAGAAAGAAAGAAA